UUUCGAAGUUCUCUUUAUUGCGAACACACAGAAGUCAGACACUGACACAGUGACACGCACAGACACAGUCACACAGAUAAUAACUCAUCUUGCUCUCUCCCGAACUCGGGCUCGAAGAGUCGAAGCAAAAAGAGGGAGUGAAGAAGAAUGGCAUCAUCAACGGCUAAGGUUUCGUUCCGUAUAAUCAUGGUCGUCCUCUUGCUCCUCCUCCUUUUUUACGUGGGUCGUCCUCUCUACUGGAAAAUCUCCGCCACGAUCCACGACAUCCGCCACAACAAACAGACCGUCAAACAAGGUCUUUCCCAGAUCGUCCUCGAGGCCCAGAAAUCCGUCGGCUGGUACCACGACGGGUCCGACUCGGGUGUCCAAGAAGAACGUGCAGGGAGCAAAGCGACGACUCGUCGUAUUCUUCUGCGUAAGCUUUUGUGAAAAUUCCAAUGGUUGACUUUAAGGCUUGUUAUGCAGUGUUGUAAUGAUAGAUCUAAUUGUUUGGUGGUACUAAUGGGAGGGUCUUGAUGCGUGUAAUGCUUGAGAUGGUGGUGUUUUAAUGGAAUUAUGAAAUCUCGUUGAUUUAGGCGUAGUUUCUGAAGUUUCAAGUGUAAUGCUUGAUAUGGAGGUAUAUUAAUGGUUGACAUGUAAUGCUGAAUCUGUAUGGAUUAAUAGCUUGAUGUAAAAAUUUUAUAGAACAGAAGGAUUUGUUAAUAGCA